GAAGAAGCAAAAGCUGUUUCCUCACACAAUGUAUUGGGAAAAAAUUGUUUACCAAGCAAACAGGAGAAAAGGGCAGAAUUUGCAAUCAAGUUUUGGUUUGUGAGCGAAGAUAUCCCAGGAGAGAAUACUACUUUGCAAUAACAAUGGAAAGGUCAUUUCAAGGUCCUGUAUUAAUAGGAAGUUCUCAAGGUGGUGUCAACAUUGAAGAUGUUGCUGCAGAGACUCCUGAAGCCAUAGUUAAAGAACCUAUUGAUAUUGUAGAAGGCAUCAAAAAGGAACAAGCUGUCCGGCUUGCACAGAAGAUGGGAUUUCCACCUAAUGUUGUGGAUUCUGCAGCAGAAAACAUGGUCAAGCUUUACAACCUUUUUCUGAAAUAUGAUGCAACCAUGGUAGAAAUAAAUCCUAUGGUAGAGGAUUCAGAUGGAGCUGGUAAAGUAUCUUCUUUUAUCAAACAUUGAUUACAUAUUUAUCCA